rnacentral:other from 1 species
UUAAGGGUUCGACGGCGUAAAGCUCAUCGAAAAUAAACCUUACAAGCAUAAUCACGGGGACUGUCCCUGACAAUGGUGUGCAAGCUCAACUCGUAUUGAGAAGCCUAAAGUUGUUAACAUGGUCACCCACCUUAGCUAUAGAGGUUUAGUUUUCAGAGUGGCCAUCGAGCCUUUUUU